GUCUCUUUCUCCAGACCUGGAAGAAAUUGACCUAUGAUGAUGUGAAGACCCAAAGUCCAGACCAAGAGAAAAGUAGAAACUAUAGAGACAAAUGACAUCCACAAGCAGUUUUACCUUGGCCCAGUCACCGGAGCCUGACCUGUAUGGGCUGCAUCAAUGAAGUCCCCUGUGCAUUGCCUUCUGAAUGGACACAGCCAGUGGGAAACUGGAGAGACGGAAGGUUGGAGCAAGAAAGAAGAUAGUGCAUUUGUUCCCUGGUUUCCUCAGGCUGGCUUUUUCAUGCA
rnacentral:lncRNA from 10 species